ACUCCUGCGGGAGGCAGCAGUGGGGAAUAUUGGACAAUGGGCGCAAGCCUGAUCCAGCCAUGCCGCGUGAGUGAUGAAGGCCCUAGGGUUGUAAAGCUCUUUCACCGGAGAAGAUAAUGACGGUAUCCGGAGAAGAAGCCCCGGCUAACUUCGUGCCAGCAGCCGCGGUAAUACGAAGGGGGCUAGCGUUGUUCGGAAUUACUGGGCGUAAAGCGCACGUAGGCGGAUCGAUCAGUCAGGGGUGAAAUCCCAGGGCUCAACCCUGGAACUGCCUUUGAUACUGUCGAUCUGGAGUAUGGAAGAGGUGAGUGGAAUUCCGAGUGUAGAGGUGAAAUUCGUAGAUAUUCGGAGGAACACCAGUGGCGAAGGCGGCUCACUGGUCCAUUACUGACGCUGAGGUGCGAAAGCGUGGGGAGCAAACAGGAUUAGAAACCCUGGUAGUCCCAUG
rnacentral:rRNA from 1 species